CCGAGUUUACAACUCCCAAACCCACUGUGAACGUACCUAAACUGUUGCCUCGGCGGGUCACGCCCGGGUGCCGUAAAAGCCCGGAACAGGCGCCGCCGGCAGGAACCAACAAACUCUUUUGUAGUCCCUCGGGACGUAUUCUACAGUCUGAGCAAAAUCAAAUGAAUCA
rnacentral:misc_RNA from 1 species